CAGCCGACUGAACCCAACUUGCAGUCUUCUGCCUGUCACUCCGACUUGCCAGGAGGUGAGUUCCAGCCAACAUAUCCAUCCCCUGCUGUCUGAGACACAAGAGAACAGUGCUUCUAUUGACUGCACUCCACAGACCCAUCUUGGUGACCUGUGAAGUUUUCACCUAGCUGAUGGCUUCAAAGGACAUAAAAACAUGUAGCUCUUCCCCACUCAUUCCCUCCUCACAAAGAAAGCUUAUGAGCAAGGAAGGAUAAACACCUGUCAUUCAAAACCUCUUUCCCCAGUAACCUCUGGCCAUCUGGCCCCUGUCUCUUAUUCCAAAGCCAGCAGCACCCUGGAAUCCCCAUGGGUUGAGGCUUUGCCAUGGUGGUGGCAGCAGCAUCACCUUUGGAAGUUUGUUCAACACAAAGACAUGGCAAAGCUACAGAGCCGAGGGAAAACCCCUCUCAGCAGGAGCAGAUCUGAAUCCUUAAAUCAUAAAAUCAUAAAGAUUGGAAAAGACCACUAAGGUCAUCCAGUCCAACCAUCAGCUCAUCCCACCAUGUCCACGAACCAUGUUCCUCAGUGCCACAUCUGCCCUUUUAUCUGUACUAGUGUUUUUACCCAAUGCUAUACACAUCAUGCUUCACACAUGCCCUUUAGAUCAUAUUCACAUCUGUUCUGCUUCAUACACUCUAGGUUAAGUGACUGAAAUUUUAAGACUAGAGAGGCAGAGACAGAUCCAGUGGACAACACACAAACCUGACUUCAUCAGGAGAAGUUUAGAGAAGAUUACUUGUAGAGCCUGUGGUAUGCAAAUGGAAAAAAAGGAACAUGAGAAUCACUGAACCUGAUCUAAUCUAAAGUCCUGUUAGCUCAGUAUCCAAUCUCCAAGGCCAAAUAAGUGACUUCAGAAGCUGAUAAGCACAUAUCUUCAGCCAUGAGGUUUCUAUUUCUCUUCCAGAAGUGCUGAUAACUUAAAAAUCCUUAAAUUGGGUCUUUUUCCAGCCCUUCUGCCCUGAAGUUUUUCAAGCCUUGUAUCUCCUGGUAAAAAAAUAGGCACUCGAGACUAAAUAAUUUAAGAUGUGUGAACAUAGUUUGUAAGCCCAAUAUCUCAAUAUAUUGUACUUCAUGGUCUUAAGUUAAAAGAAAAGAUUUUGUUAGAGGAAUAGGUAAAAUGCUGAUAAUGGAUCUUGGUAGAGCAAAUUCCAUGGGGAAUUGUAAUGGUGCAUUUGCUGGGAUGUGGCCAUUACUGUGUGCAUCCUCAAGCAGUCACAAAGAUUAUGCCUUAGGUCCCAUCCUACAGAUCAAAAGUAGCAUAAAAGUCUCUCCUGCAUGCACAAGCAGAUUCACAGAAGGAAAGUCCACCUGAACCUUGCACACAAACUUUCUUCUACUAAGAAUGGUGACAGACCUGCUCCUGGAGAGGAUGAAUCUGUGGAGCACAAAAGACUGGAGGAAGGCUCCUUGAGUUCUACCCAGGAGGUCUGCCAAAGGUUCAGUACCACCUAAAGGCUAUGUCAACAAGAUUGUUCCUCUGGAAUUUGCCAAGGAAAAUUACUGUUAUGAUUAAAGGAAAGGUUUUGAACGAUUA